CCUACGGGUGGCAGCAGUGGGGAAUAUUGCACAAUGGGGGAAACCCUGAUGCAGCGACGCCGCGUGAGCGAUGAAGUAUUUCGGUAUGUAAAGCUCUAUCAGCAGGGAAGAAAAUGACGGUACCUGACUAAGAAGCCCCGGCUAACUACGUGCCAGCAGCCGCUGUAAUACGUAGGGGGCAAGCGUUAUCCGGAUUUACUGGGUGUAAAGGGGGCGUAGACGGCGGUGCAAGCCAGAUGUGAAAGCGCGGGGCUCAACCCCGGGACUGCAUUUGGAACUGGGCUGCUAGAGUGGCGGAGAGGCAGGCGGAAUUCGUAGUGUAGCGGUGAAAUGCGUAGAUAUUAGGAGGAACACCAGUGGCGAAGGCGGCAUGCUGGACGAUGACUGACGUUGAGGCUCGAAAGCGUGGGGAGCGAACAGGAUUAGAUACCCCUGUAGUC
rnacentral:rRNA from 1 species